rnacentral:rRNA from 1 species
AGUCGAACGGAAUAUCAUGAGUAGCAAUACGAGUGGUGUUUAGUGGCGAACGGGUGCGUAACACGUGGAUACAUUCCGGGAAGCGGGGGAUAGCCCAGGGAAACUUGGAUUAAUACCGCAUGUGAUCGAAAGAUCAAAGACGGGGACCGCAAGGCCUGUCACUUCCCGAUUGGUCCGCGGCCUAUCAGCUAGUUGGCGGGGUAAAAGCCCACCAAGGCUACGACGGGUAGCUGGUCUUAGAGGACGACCAGCCACACUGGAACUGAGACACGGUCCAGACACCUACGGGUGGCAGCAGUCGAGAAUCUUUCACAAUGGGGGCAACCCUGAUGGAGCGACGCCGCGUGGAGGAUAAGGUCUUCGGAUUGUAAACUCCUGUCAUGCGCGAACAAGGUUGCAGGGAUAAUACCUUUGCAAAUUGAUGGUACCGCAAGAGGAAGAGACGGCUAACUCUGUGCCAGCAGCCGCGGUAAUACAGAGGUCUCAAGCGUUGUUCGGAAUCACUGGGCGUAAAGGGUGCGUAGGUGGCGUGGUAAGUCAGAUGUGAAAGCCCGGGGCUCAACCUCGGAACUGCAUCCGAUACUACCAUGCUAGAGUACUGAAGAGGAAACUAGAAUUCUCGGUGUAGCAGUGAAAUGCGUAGAUAUCGAGAGGAAUACCAAAGGCGAAGGCAGGUUUCUUGGCAGUUACUGACACUGAGGCACGAAGGCCAGGGGAGCGAACGGGAUUAGAUACCCCGGUAGUCCUGGCAGUAAACGGUGUACACUUGGUGUGGGGGGAUUCGACCCCUUCCGCGCCGGAGCUAACGCGUUAAGUGUACCGCCUGGGAAGUACGGUCGCAAGAUUAAAACUCAAAGAAAUUGACGGGGACCCGCACAAGCGGUGGAGUAUGUGGCUUAAUUCGAUGCAACGCGAAGAACCUUACCUGGUCUUGACAUGCAUUCUGUCGUUUAUGAAAGUAAGCUAGGUU